CACUUUCCCUCCCCACAAGCCCUAGUUUGUUCUCCCAAAUUUCACUUGCCCUCCCACGCCCUGAAAUCCGUCAUCCAUUUCGAUUGCUUCGCCUGGAACGAUGAAGAGAGGAACGAUGAACAAGACCUUGUCGCCGUCAACCCAGAUCGAAGAGAGGAAUGAUGAAGAGACCUCAUGGCCUUCAACCUAGAUCAGAGAGAGGAACGAUGAAGAGACCUCAUCGCCUGGAACGAUGAAGAGAGGCUUGAUUCCACACCAUUGAACCCAGAUCGAAGUCAUUCACCGUCCAAGCUCCACCACCGCGAAUCUUCUUGCUGUAAUCAACGGUACCCGACCUUGCUUCGAUCUUUUGUUUCCCCUUUUGGGUUUCCUGUUGUUGGGUGUAUCCAAAUUUAGGUUUUCCUAGUGAAGAAGAGGUAAAAAGUUGGUGAUUUGGGUGAAAGAAAAUUUUAGGUUUUCCAAUUUGGAUUUUGGGUCCCUCUCCUCUUUCUAUUUUGUUCAGGUAUGAAAUUGAUUGGCAACCAGGAUUUGCAGUGUUAUUUGCUUUUGCUCUGUCUAUUUUCUCUUGAUUUGUCAAUAAAUAAAUUCAGGUGGUAGAUGGUGGAGGUGUGGUUGAAUCAGCAUUAUCAGUUUAUUGGGAGUACCUUGCUGCAACUUUAGGAUCUCGGGAGCAGUUGGUUAUAGCAGAGUUUGAUAAUCAUUCCAAAGGUAAGCGUCAAACCAAUUUAACUGUUUAGGUUUAAUUUUUAGAUCUUAUGCUUUUUUUACAUAUAACUACUAUCUAGGGUGGUAUGGCCUAGUUGAACAAUUGAUAUUAAGGGGAGAGAGGAUUUAUUCAGGCAUAAUUUGAAUUUGUGUGAACGGAGCAAGUGCUUUGCAGUAAAAGAAAAAGAAUGGGAAACUCUUAGAGUUGUAGACCAGGCCUCGCAAUACAGGUUGUCCUUUUUGUUUUUCUAUACUCACCUAGUUACUUUUAUCCUUGAAAUUUAAUUAACAUUAAGAAGCCAUAAGUUUGACACUUCUUUUUCUGGCAGCAUUUCUACUUUUGACUGACUUCUUGUUAUUCUAUGGUAUUGGGGGGAGAGGGAGAGAGCGGGGAAGAUGAGAUUGAGUGAUCUGAGCAAUUACUUUCAUCUGCCUAUUGAAGAUGCAGCAAAAACAAGUGAACUUAUGCCCUCACAGUGAUGAAGAAAAUUUGCUGUAAAGCAGGACUAGCAUGAUGGCCUCAGAGAAAGGUUCUGGUGUCAGGUUUAGGACUCUUGUCAGAGGAAUCACCAAAUGCAGCUCCAUAACUGUCACCCUGAAAUUGCAAAAACACAAAAUGUUGUAAAUCAAGAAGCUUCAGCAGAACAGUUUGUCUUAGUGCACUGAAAGUUCAUUCACCUGAGAAGAAAUAAACCCGGGAGUGGGGCAAUUAUUCAUUGCUGGCUUGAACCUCACUAUCUUUGGUCUAAUGGCAGAAACUGUAGUAGCUUGAGAAGAUGCAGUAGGGGGAGAGUCAUUGAUUGCUCCUGCUAGGAGCUCUAAGAAAGAUUUGAAACUAGAACAGGUUCACUUGAAGCAUUUGGGUGGUAAUAUUGACGAGGUUCUUUAUUUCUUCCUACCAGUACCAGCAAAUGACUUGGUUGAUUUUAUUGCCCCAUCUUGCUACAGGUAAUUUUAGCCACCAAAUCCCCUGAUUGUUAUUGGAGCAUCAGUCUCAUUCUUAAUAAGAAAUGUCUUAAAUUGGAGAAAAUUGGAGAAAACUAGCUCUAGCAAGUAAGGUAUGUUAUAGCUUAUAAAAUUAGCUUUUCAUUGUUGAUUAAGGUGUGGUCAUAUAUGGAGGAAAGGUCUAACUAUUGCUUUCCUUAAACUUUGUAGAGCCUCCUUGCAUUUCCUUGCUGAUUGUUUUGUUUAAAGAACAUAUGUAAGAAGAUGAACAUGUUUAAAAUGUUCCCAAAUCAAUUGGGAAUGCUUGAUAAUCUAAUUUGUCUUAACUUUUUUAAUAGGAUUUGUUCCACACCAGACAUGUGCACUCUGUUGAAGUAAUUGAUGCUGGAUUUCUUGGCCGUCUUUUCAAGGCUGUUUUGAAGCACUGCCUAAGCUACAAAUCCUGGAUAUGAGUGGUAAUGCUGCUUUGAAACUUUGCACUCUUCACUGAUUGUUAUAAACUCUCUUUAUAUCUCUGCUUAUAUGUUUUUAAUUAUUAGGUAGAUAUGACAAAACUUGCUUUCCUUCAAACUAAUUUUGGUGCUUCCUUAGAUGUUUUACUAUAUACACUAGUUCUAAGAUGCUUGAGAUGUAACAUGUAAAUUCAUUUAGUUACUGGAGGUGAUCAAUAGAGCUG